rnacentral:rRNA from 1 species
UGGCUCAGAACGAACGCUGGCGGCAGGCUUAACACAUGCAAGUCGAGCGCCCCGCAAGGGGAGCGGCAGACGGGUGAGUAACGCGUGGGAAUCUACCCUUUUCUACGGAAUAACGCAGGGAAACUUGUGCUAAUACCGUAUAAGCCCUUCGGGGGAAAGAUUUAUCGGGAAAGGAUGAGCCCGCGUUGGAUUAGCUAGUUGGUGGGGUAAAGGCCUACCAAGGCGACGAUCCAUAGCUGGUCUGAGAGGAUGAUCAGCCACAUUGGGACUGAGACACGGCCCAAACUCCUACGGGAGGCAGCAGUGGGGAAUAUUGGACAAUGGGCGCAAGCCUGAUCCAGCCAUGCCGCGUGAGUGAUGAAGGCCCUAGGGUUGUAAAGCUCUUUCACCG